UCUGGUUGAUCCUGGCGGAGGUUACUGCUAUCGGUGUUCGCCUAAGCCAUGCGAGUCAUAUGUUCGUAAGAACAUGGCGUACUGCUCAGUAACACGUGGAUAACCUGCCCUUGGGUCCGGCAUAACCCCGGGGAACUGGGGAUAAUUCCGGAUAACGCACAUAUGCUGGAAUGCUUUUUGCGUAAAAUGGAUUCGUCUGCCCAAGGAUGGGUCUGCGGCCUAUCAGGUAGUAGUGGGUGUAAUGUACCUACUAGCCUACGACGGGUACGGGUUGUGAGAGCAAGAGCCCGGAGAUGGAUUCUGAGACAUGAAUCCAGGCCCUACGGGGCGCAGCAGGCGCGAAAACUUUACAAUGCGGGAAACCGUGAUAAGGGGACACCGAGUGCCAGCAUCCCAUGCUGGCUGUCCGGGUGUGUAAAAUACACCUGUUAGCAAGGGCCGGGCAAGACCGGUGCCAGCCGCCGCGGUAACACCGGCGGCCCGAGUGGUGAUCGUGAUUAUUGGGUCUAAAGGGUCCGUAGCCGGUUUGGUCAGUCCUCCGGGAAAUCUGACAGCUCAACUGUUGGGCUAUCGGAGGAUACUGCCAGACUUGGAACCGGGAGAGGUAAGAGGUACUACAGGGGUAGGAGUGAAAUCUUGUAAUCCCUGUGGGACCACCUGUGGCGAAGGCGUCUUACCAGAACGGGUUCGACGGUGAGGGACGAAAGCUGGGGGCACGAACCGGAUUAGAUACCCGGGUAGUCCCAGCCGUAAACGAUGCUCGCUAGGUGUCAGGCAUGGCGCGACCGUGUCUGGUGCCGCAGGGAAGCCGUGAAGCGAGCCACCUGGGAAGUACGGCCGCAAGGCUGAAACUUAAAGGAAUUGGCGGGGGAGCACAACAACGGGUGGAGCCUGCGGUUUAAUUGGACUCAACGCCGGACAACUCACCGGGGGCGACAGCAAAAUGUAGGCCAGGCUGAAGACCUUGCCUGAAUCGCUGAGAGGAGGUGCAUGGCCGUCGCCAGUUCGUACUGUGAAGCAUCCUGUUAAGUCAGGCAACGAGCGAGACCCA
rnacentral:rRNA from 1 species